rnacentral:rRNA from 1 species
GCGGGAUGAGCUCAAAUUUGUAAUCUGGCGGUCUCUGGCCGUCCGAGUUGUAGUCUGGAGAAGCGUCUUCCGCGUCGGACCGUGUACAAGUCCCUUGGAACAGGGCGUCGUAGAGGGUGAGAAUCCCGUCUUUGACACGGACUGCCGAUGCUUUGCGAUGCGCUCUCGAAGAGUCGAGUUGUUUGGGAAUGCAGCUCAAAACGGGUGGUAAAUUCCAUCUAAAGCUAAAUAUGGGCGAAAGACCGAUAGCGAACAAGUACCGUGAGGGAAAGAUGAAAAGCACUUUGGAAAGAGAGUUAAACAGUACGUGAAAUUGUUGAAAGGGAAACGCUUGAAGUCAGUCGCGUCUCCCGGGACUCAGCCUCGCUUCUGCUUGGUGUACUUCCCGGGGCGACGGGCCAGCAUCGAUUUUGACCGUCGGAGAAAGGCCUUGGGAACGUGGCACCUUCGGGUGUGUUAUAGCCCUUGGUCGUAUGCGACGGUUGGGAUCGAGGACCGCAGCACGCCUUUUUGGCCGGGGUUCGCCCACGUACGUGCUUAGGAUGCUGGCGUAAUGGCUUUAAGCGACCCGUCUUGAAACACGGACCAAGGAGUCUAACAUGCCUGCGAGUGUUUGGGUGGCAAACCCGGACGCGAAAUGAAAGUGAAAGGUUGGGACCUCUGUCGUGGAGGGCACCGACGCCCGGACCAGACCUUCUGUGACGGUUCCGAGGUAGAGCAUGCAUGCUGGGACCCGAAAGAUGGUGAACUAUGCUUGAGUAGGGUGAAGCCAGAGGAAACUCUGGUGGAGGCUCGUAGCGAUUCUGACGUGCAAAUCGAUC